CACAGAAUUUAACACUAAUCACCUAUACAAAUCGAUGCCCCCUUUUACACACCACGCCAAUGAACACACAUAACCUCACUUUACAGCCACAACACAGUUGACCGCCACAUCUACAUCCACAUCGGCUCACAAAAAAUAACUUAUGUUACCACCAUUCAUCUAUAUUUUAAUAUUUUAACUUUGACGCUAGGGCCAGAUGAUGACAAUAAAUGUCGAAAUCGAUCGCCAA